UACAGAGGGGGCAAGCGUUGUUCGGAAUUACUGGGCGUAAAGGGCGCGUAGGCGGCCUGCUAAGUCGAACGUGAAAUCCCUGGGCUCAACCCCAGGAACUGCGUCCGAUACUGGUUGGCUUGAAUCCGGGAGAGGGAUGCGGAAUUCCAGGUGUAGCGGUGAAAUGCGUAGAUAUCUGGAGGAACACCGGUGGCGAAGGCGGCCCUUCUGGACGGUGACUGACGCUGAGAUGCGAAAGCGUGGGGAGCAAACAGG
rnacentral:rRNA from 1 species